CGGGGGAGGCCGGAUCCUGGGCUGUGUCCCGGCGCUCUGUACUCCCAGUGUGCGCUUUUGGAUUCACGCUCCCGGCGGUGCAGCCGCCU
rfam:Canis lupus familiaris chromosome X, whole genome shotgun sequence.